rnacentral:rRNA from 1 species
GUAGGUGGCAAGCGUUGUCCGGAAUUAUUGGGCGUAAAGCGCGCGCAGGCGGUUCUUUAAGUCUGAUGUGAAAGCCCACGGCUCAACCGUGGAGGGUCAUUGGAAACUGGAGAACUUGAGUACAGAAGAGGAAAGCGGAAUUCCGCGUGUAGCGGUGAAAUGCGUAGAGAUGUGGAGGAACACCAGUGGCGAAGGCGGCUUUCUGGUCUGUAACUGACGCUGAGGCGCGAAAGCGUGGGGAGCAAACAGGGAUUAGAUACCCUGGUAGUCCACGCCGUAAACGAUGAGUGCUAAGUGUUAGGGGGGGUUUCCGCCCCCUUAGUGCUGCAGCUAACGCAUUAAGCACUCCGCCUGGGGAUACGGCCGCAAGGCUG